ACACCCUCAUUUAUAGCACUGAGCGUGUCACUCGGGCAGCAUGUGGGCCAAGAAAGGGAGAGUCCAGGAAAGGUGAGAUUAGCAGACAGUCGGGAAAGUCACCUGAUGUGAAGAGAGAGAGACUGGGGUAGACCAGAUGGCUGCAUCAGCACGGUCCGGGGACACGCCGUGGGCUGCACUUUGGAAGGGUUGAUUCGAGCAGAAUUUCUUCUUGAGAAGGCUUGAAAAGCAUUUUCAAGUGCUUUAUCUCGUUUGGAUCCUCGCGACAGCCCUGUGAAUGUGAGGAGGGCAAGUAUUUCCCAGGAGCUGCAGAUCUGACAGGACAGGAGGGAAGAGGCUCCAGGAACAAGUCUCUUCGGGAUGCAGGGGGCCCUUCCCAGACGCUGCUGGCAUCCUGGACCCGAUGCUGCCUCCCUGCUCACAUACUUCAUCAUGGUCAGAAGACCUUUUCCCUCGGAACUUCACACUUCUUAAAGUGUGCCGUCUCUUUACUAUCAGAACCAGCAGCACAGCAUGUAACAGGAUCUCGCAGGGAAACGCAGGGAGACCUGAGAGGUGCGUCAAGCUUUGGGGAAUGACCAGCAGAGCACCCCACAGGUGUUCCAGGAUCAGUUGGAAAGUGGACCAGGGAGCAGGUGGCAGACCUUCCAUGGCUGCGCGGGCUCCACAGAUCUGCCUCUGAGGGCCAGUGUCCUCUGGGUCUCAACUGACCACUCAGAACCCUGUAGAGUGUUCUGUCUCCAAGAAAAGACAGAUUAACUUCUGGCCCAGGUUAUGGGAUCCUCUCAUCUGCUCAGAGAACGGAGCUGCCGCCAGCUGCUGUGCGUCCAAGGACUCUGUGUUCUCUUGUAGGAGGUUCCUGGAUAAUUUAAAAUUCUAAACCAAGGGCAGUGCACAGAAGCCUGGGGGAGCCCCUGGGUAGCAGUUUUAAUGACAUCAACAAAACUCAGUCUGGUUAUCUUGGCAAGAGAACAACGUCAGGAAACAGAAGACCUGGGUUUGAGGCCUGGCUCUGUUCAGUGUCAGCUUUAUCGCUGAACUCUGCACCCAUGCUGCUUCUGGAAACAGAACAUUGACUGUGAGGGGCCGUCUGUUCUUUGCAGAACCCCUGCUGGAAGGCUUUGGUUAAGACUUCAGUGGAGUCCCCAGGCCACUGACUUCCCACAGUCUUAAACCAACCAUGGAUACAUCCACCAGGGACCUCAUUUUGUGGAGGGGAAACUGAGGCAUGGAGUAAGUCACGUGCCCACGGUCACAAAGGCCGGGUAAGAGUGAUAAGCUGAGGUCUGGCUCCUAAGCACAAUAAACCCUACUGCCAACUUGAUGUUUCCAAAGAGAUGAUGAAACAGCCCACCCUGCCCCCCUCCUUGGACCCUGACCACCUCCUCCGGCCCCACAUCCUGUGCCUCACACACCCAUCAGGCUCCCAGUCCCUAUCCGCUGUGAGUGUCCACCAUUUGCAGCUCUCAGGCCCCUGAUAUGAGGAAUAGCUGGGACACAGGGAGGAGGGGGCAGCGGAAGGGAACUUAGUUCUGCUUCUUCUCCACCUUGUGGAAAAGCUGGAAGACAGGCCACAGGAACCUCAUCUCUGUAUGACCUCAGAUUUGACUAUGUUAGGAAAAAUAAUUUUUAAAAAAUAUUAUGGUAAAAUAUACAUUUAAAAAAAGGUUUGGAAUUUCAGUGGAACUAGGAAAAGGACAAAGAGUGAGGCUAAUAGAAGGACUUUGAAAGGAUCCAUCUCAGCCUGGGUGAACGAAUUUUUCCUUAUCAUCAGACAUUAGACCAUUCUAUUUGCUUUAAAUAAAAGAUGCUUCAUCUUAACUGGCUAUGAAAGGGUAAGAUUGGAAACACAGACACUGAAUUAGAGGGACAAAAAGAAAAUGUUCCCUCCCUGUGCCCCCCUCCCUGCCCCAGUUCCACCCCUUUUAUUCUGGGUGAGCUUCUCCUCUUUCUAGAACAGUUCUCAAAGUGAGGUCCACAGACAACACCCUUUCAGAGGGAUCCUCAAGGGCAAAAUGAUUUUUAUAAUAAUAUUAAAACAUUCACCUUUUUUACUGUGCUGACAUUUGCCCUGAUGGUGCUUAAAACUCCUGGAGCCUUAGCACUAAACUGUACUAGCAAUCACGAUAUUCUUCAUCAUGUACUUGCAGGAAAAAAAUACUAGUUUCCUUUAAAAAAUGUCCUUGAUGAAGCAGUAAAAAUUAAGUUUCUUAAUAAGCGAAGACACAUCUUUUUAGUUUCUGGGUAGGUAACAACAUGGAAAAGUACACAGAAGGUCUGGUGCUGAGAUAGAUUGGUUGUCCUGGGAAAUGCAGUUGUGGAUUUGAGUUGCAAGCUAAACUAACCAUUUCAUUCAUAAGGGCCAUUUGUAUUUGAAAGACCAACUGACAAAUGAUGUUUCUUCAGACUUGGGUAUUUGGCAGGUAUUUCCCCAAAAGUAAAUGAAAUCAGUCUGUCACUCCCAAAAGAACAACUUUGAAUAUUUGUUGCUGAUGAUAAAAUUUGAGCUUUCAAGUGAAAAUUUGAAUUUUUGAAAAUUUGUAUCUGCCACUGGGAGCUUGAUAGCUUCUCAGGACUUUUCUGGUGAAACUGGUGGUGAGAGUAACUAAUGUGAUCGUUUGAUAUCAUAUGUCGAAAUGAGUCAACAUUUUGAAGCAGUGUUUUCCGAUGACUAAUGCAUGUUACAAAACCACACAUGGGUAAAAGAUCCAUUCAAAGUGCAAGACGGACCAAUGGAAUUUACUGUAACCAUAGGCAAGUUUAUUGAUAUGGUUUCAUAUGCCAACUGGAAUUUAUCUUUAAGAAACUACCAUUUGUCAGUUUAGGUGUAGUAUAAAACAAUAUCCGGUUAUGUGAAACCGCUAUAAAACACACCUGCCUGUUCCAAUUACAGAUCCCUGUGAGGCCUGAUUUUCUUCAAAAUGUAUCACAACAGACUGAUGCAGAAGCCAGUAUAGGAAUCCAGCUCUUUCCCACUAAACCAGACAUCAAAGAGAUUUAAAAACACGUAAAAUAGUGCUGUUCUCACUUUUCGGGAAAAAGUUAUUUUUUAUAAAAAUAUUAAUAUAGAUGUAAUUUCAAAAAUGAAUCAUAGUUUUAAACUUGUUUUAAUUUCCAAUAUGGUUAACAUUGAGGACGAGUGGUGUGCUAGUAAAUGUUUAAUAACCUGCUCCCUGAGAAGGGUUGGUGGGGGAAGCCCUGAUUUGUAGCGUUUGCUGGUUUCAGUGGUGUAACUUACUCUCGUCCCAAACAAGUUUGAGCUACUAAUACCUCGCUGAUACAAAGUUGGGGAGAGGCCCUCACCUUCCGCUCUGGCCAGCCCGUGGCAAGCCAGCUUCAGCACACCACUGAUACAAUCUACCUAAGUUUUUAGAAUCCUCACUUAUUUUGGAGAGUAGAGAGGAGGUCCAAGAAUGAGUUUGAGAAGAGGUGUCCUAGGGACCACCAACCUCAUCUAUGAUAAGUCAUCUCGGCAACAUCAGAAGUCCAGGGGAGUCAAGGCCUCAGUUACAAAAGCCCUUGAACUUCAAACCCCAAUGCCCUUAUUAGAAACAUCCUAAAAUCUCUUCUGUUACCUCUGCCAAACCCCUGACAAAGACUAGACCCCUGGAUUUUGCUAUUUUAAUCUCUUCUUGAAAAUGUUUUGCUUUAAGGAACACUUUUGGGGAAUUCCUUCAGGAAGUGCUCACAGUUGGUUCCAGCUUGGUCCCAAUUUACUAGGGGAUGGGUGUGUGAAAUCAGUCAAAGGGAGAUGUAAUUCUGAGGGACUGAGCAGGUGUGUGAAUCCUGACUCCACCGCCUCCAUGCCGGGGGGGUCGGUGGGGAUGAAGAAUGAGGACCCUUACAAGGAGGAGUUUAUAUGAACAAAAUACUUUAUUAUUUGAGAAAGAAAAGGCCAAAUUACAAAACUUUUGUACUCAAGUCCUGUUCAUUACCACGCCAAAGGUUUACCAUGGAUUUGAUUUUCCGUAACUAUUGGGUCGAGCCACAUAAAGCUGCCAACUUUGUAGGCGAAACAGACAAACAUUGGCAAUUUCGUGUGGUCAAAGCCCAUAGAAAAUGAGCCAGCCGGUGGCUAAGAUUUCUUUUUGGCAGCAAGAUGUUCCCAGUCCCAUGUCUGUUGAUGUUAUAAACCGAUGUCUGAGAGAUAAACAGGUCCUGCUUGAGAAAAACACCUUGUGCGUAGUGAUACUGGAAUACAGUCUUGUGUGGGUUCUGAGACCGUGUGGUGCCCCUUCCAGCUCUGCUCUCCCCCGCU